rnacentral:lncRNA from 10 species
UCUCAGGCCAGCCCCUGGGCAGAGAAAGAGUGACCCUGGUUGGGCAGCCCUAUGGCCCUGUGGAGCUGAGAUGCCAGCUUUAGAUGGGGGGACUUACAACACGGGCUUUCCCUUCCCCAGUGGAACAGAAGGCGCCGGCGAGAGGCCCUCCUUGUCAGCACCAGGGACAGAUUGCUCAAGAAUCUGUGUGCUCCAAGGCACAAGAGGGGUGCUGUCUCCUUUCCUGGAGUUCCGUCUCAUGCCUACGUUUCAGGUGUCCUGUCCCAGGUGCAGCUGCAGGAGUCAGGUCCAGGACCCAUGAGGCCCUCAGACACUGCCCUCCACCUGUGCUGUGUCUGGGUUCUUUUUUUUACCAGUGAAUAUUAUUUGAGCUGAAUCCACCAUCCCCUAGGCAACAGAUUAGAAUGGCUGGGGCACAGUUACCAGGAAUACACAUCAUGAUCACCAAGAUCAUCAUCAAGAUCACCAAGGAAUACACAUCAUGCACCCUUUACCCAGGUCUGCAUCUCCAUCAACAAUGACUCAACCAAGAGCCAGUUCUUUCUGAAGCUCAGCUCCAUGGCUGGCUAGGACAUGGCUGAGUAUUACUGUGAAAGACUCAGUGAGGAGGUGUCCUUGUGAGCCCUGACACAAAACUUGCUGUCAGGGCACUGAGGACCGCCAGCAAGACUCAGGACCACAAGGGGGACUCAAGACCACCAGGGGAAGAGCAGGUUGCAGGAAGCACAGGGCCAGCCCCAGAGCAGGUGUGGGUGGAGAUGAGAGGCUGGUUUACUGCCAGGGUGUGGGGCUGCCUCUACAUCUACAUGUUUCCUCCAGGGACCCUCCCUUAUUUCAUGAUGCUGUGCCUAGCUCUACGUCUCUGAAAUACCACAGUUUUGUUGUACCAGGAGGAAACCUUCUUACAGGCACUAAAUGCAGAACAAUCCCUCUGCCAGUGGUCACCAGGGCCACAGCCCUGUGGAAGCUGAGUGGAACCCGGUGAGUCUUCUCCAGUCACACUCAGGACAGGGACCUCAGUGGGGUUCCCUGAAGAAAACAGUAUUUAGGAAUUCUAACCUCAGCCAAGAGAGAGGCUGGGCCAGGGUCAGGGUCACGUAGAACCUCACAGGUUUUAUUUCUGACCCUUCUUCUGACACUAAAGUAUGCAAAUCAGCUUUGAGCUAUGAAAUCGUCUGUCUCAUGAAUAUGCAAAUAACCUGAGAUGCACUGAGGUAAAUAUGGAUGUGUCUGUGCCCUAAGCACAUCAUCCAACAACCACAUGCCUCUUCUGCAGAAUCUCCUUAGAGCUCAGUGCCUCACCGUGGACUGGACCUGGAGGAACAUCUUGGUGGCAGCAGCUACAGGUAAGGGAGUGCGCACUCUCAGGACCAGUUGGUGCAGUCUGGGGCUGAGGUGAAGAAGCCUCUGUCCUCAGUGAAGGUCUCCUUCAAGGCUUCUGGAUACACCUUCACCAACAACUUUAUGCACUGGGUGUGACAGGCCCCUGGACAAGGACUUGAGUGGAUGGGAUGGAUCAAUGCUGGCAAUGGUAACACAACAUAUGCACAGAAGUUCCAGGGCAGAGUCACCAUAACCAGGGACACGUCCAUGAGCACAGCCUACACGGAGCUGAGCAGCCUGAGAUCUGAGGACAUGGCCGUGUAUUACUGUGCGAGAGACACAGAGUGAAAACCCACAUCCUGAGAGUGUCAGAAACCCCAGGGAGGAGGCAGCUGUGCUGGCAUGGAGGAGAUGACAAAGAUUAUUAGAUUGAAGACUUUCUCAGAAAAUAACAUUAAGUCACUAAAGAAAAGGAACAAUAUAAAUGUGUAUUUGAGAAAUUUUAAUUAUUUGAAAGAUUUUUCAUACAACAUUUAUUCUGUAAGCAAAUUUCAGGGAUUGAAUUAAUAAAACUGAUACAGAACUUCCUUUGUAGGUAUCUUUGUAAACAUCAAUUUCUGAAUCACUGUUGUAAAUAUUUUGGAACACACAAAUGAAUCAAAUUUUAACUCUACUUUUAUCUCUAUUUUAAAAAUGCCCCCCAAAACCUCAUUUUGUGCAUGUAGCAUUUUGAAUUCCCACCAUCAAUGCAUGAUGGUUCUUGAUUUUCCACAUUCAUAUUGCCAUUUUUCAUUAUGAGAAUUGUGUGUUUUAAACAUCCUAAUAGGUGAGUAAUGGUAUCUAAUUUUUAUUUACACGUACAUGUCCCUAAUAAAAAGUUCCUACUUAAAAAUGUUCAAAUAAUCUUUGGUGAGGUACCUUGCCUGAGA